rnacentral:tRNA from 1 species
GUGGGUGUAGCUCAGUUGUCGAGCACGUGAUUUGCAUGCAUGAGGUCUUGGGUUCAAUACCCAGUACCAACA